rnacentral:rRNA from 1 species
UACGUAGGGUGCAAGCGUUAUCCGGAAUUAUUGGGCGUAAAGAGCUCGUAGGCGGUCUGUCGCGUCUGCUGUGAAAACUGGGGGCUCAACCCCCAGCCUGCAGUGGGUACGGGCAGACUAGAGUGCGGUAGGGGAGAUUGGAACUCCUGGUGUAGCGGUGGAAUGCGCAGAUAUCAGGAAGAACACCGAUGGCGAAGGCAGAUCUCUGGGCCGUGACUGACGCUGAGACGCGAAAGCGUGGGGAGCAAACAGG